rnacentral:rRNA from 1 species
UACUCUUGACAUCCAGAGAACUUUGCAGAGAUGCAUCGGUGCCUUCGGGAACUCUGAGACAGGUGCUGCAUGGCUGUCGUCAGCUCGUGUUGUGAAAUGUUGGGUUAAGUCCCGCAACGAGCGCAACCCUUAUCCUUUGUUGCCAGCGGUUCGGCCGGGAACUCAAAGGAGACUGCCAGUGAUAAACUGGAGGAAGGUGGGGAUGACGUCAAGUCAUCAUGGCCCUUACGAGUAGGGCUACACACGUGCUACAAUGGCAUAUACAAAGAGAAGCGACCUCGCGAGAGCAAGCGGACCUCAUAAAGUAUGUCGUAGUCCGGAUCGGAGUCUGCAACUCGACUCCGUGAAGUCGGAAUCGCUAGUAAUCGUGGAUCAGAAUGCCACGGUGAAUACGUUCCCGGGCC